rnacentral:rRNA from 1 species
CAGUAGCCGCGGUAAUACGUAGGGUGCGAGCGUUAAUCGGAAUUACUGGGCGUAAAGCGUGCGCAGGCGGUUAUAUAAGACAGAUGUGAAAUCCCCGGGCUCAACCUGGGACCUGCAUUUGUGACUGUAUAGCUAGAGUACGGUAGAGGGGGAUGGAAUUCCGCGUGUAGCAGUGAAAUGCGUAGAUAUGCGGAGGAACACCGAUGGCGAAGGCAAUCCCCUGGACCUGUACUGACGCUCAUGCACGAAAGCGUGGGGAGCAAACAGGAUUAGAUACCCCUGUAGUCCCUGUCUCUUAUAC